rnacentral:sRNA from 1 species
AGUUCGUUGCCUCUCCGUUCCGUCGUUGGUUCGUUGGGCAUUGAUCGUCCAUUUUUUUCACUGGGUCUUUGGGCUCAGGCUACCUCGUUCCCUUCUCAACGUGUCAUAUUUCCUUUUUUUUUUUUUCCCUUUGCUUUUCAUAAUGUGUCACUUUUUCCACGAUUGACUAGUUUUUGUGGGAGGUUUCCGCGGCUUCCCCGGCUUCCCCAUAUCCCGUUCCCAAUAGCUUUUUUUGGCCCCACGUUCUGCAAGUUCAUUCUCCUUUAUUGGGCCGGGGAACAGCGGGACCGAAUGGGCUAACCAACUGUCAACUCAUCGCCAGGCGGAUCCCCCCGUUUCCGGAACUGAGUGUAGAUUUAUCGAAAUCCCGAAGUUAUGGUUCAGAUGAUAAAUAGCCACCUAUUGGCAAGUCAAAACUCCAUUGACAGAUCCAUUGACUGGAUUCGAUUUAGUAGCCAAAAGUCCAAGAGUUAAAUACAGGGCCUGAGCAUCGAGCGGCAUCAUUUUACGUUUCCUCCCCUAUACUACGUACUCCGUAUGUAACCCCAGCAGCAGGAACUUCACGACGGAAGAGGUUGAACUGAGGGAGCAUGUUCUCAAACAAACUAGUCCAUAGCGCUGAAACCCAAGGCCCACCGCAAAAUCUCACCAGAAUCUCAGGAGGCCUCCCUUUUUUGGAGGAAAAUCUCACUUCGAGAUCCGCGGCUGCGACUAUUUCCCAUGUGGCUUUGUGGGGAAAGCGGAAAGCAGGAGCUUACUGCUGAAGUAACCGUGCAAUCAGAGCCAUUGGAUCACAGCCACUGGGAGAGCUCUCGGUCCUUGCCCCUGUCAGAUUGCUAAGUGAUUGACUCAUUGUUACGGAUACUGUUUGAAACUUCGGACGAUAACAAACCUGCUGGACGAAACCUUCGUGAGAAUAAUAAAAUACCAGUGGCUGACACUCCAUCAGCAAAAAGGAGAAAGAAACAGAAAACACAUAAAAAUGUAAUAACUUUCCAAUGGCCAUCCCCAGAAAAAAAAAAAAAAAAGGCUAAAAAGUCCGGGGAAUGGGUAUUUAUUUAUUAUUAAUAUUUUUUUCAACAAAAAAAAAGAAAAGAAAGGAGAAUUGAUUGCGCCACAACCGCUAACCAGAUUUAAACAGCCGCCGGCUAACCUCUGAACCCUGCUAGUACCGCGCGCUAAGCGGCCUUCCAGAAGGCUUGCGGAAAUUGAGCUUCAAAAGAAAAAUAAUACUUGCUUCCAUGAUCCUUGCAGCCGAGUUUCGGGACUAUUUCUUAUUAUCAAACCCCCACUUUGUGCGGCGGUGAGCGGAAUCUAACUAGUUGGAUGGAUGCAUACUAGUACUUCGGGUACUCAAAUGCAAUAAACCACAUAAUCCAUGGAUCUGGCUCGAUUGUGCUUGUGUGGAUACGGAGGUGCAGUGUUUUCACGAGAGUUUAUUUGCACAAGACGGAUCGAGGGGGGGGAGUAGGCGUUGGAUCUCCGGGCUCUUAAUUCCAAACACUGCUAGGACGCCUUUUGGUUUUUCUUGUGGAAUGGUGACGCACUUCGUUGUGAGGGGGGUAUGUGUAGCGGGAAGAAUUAUAUUUACUCAUGU